AAAAGAAAAAAAAAUGAAAAGUCAGUCAACUAAUUUUUAUUAGAUUUCAUUCCACAGAAAUCUUUUCAUUGCCUACGUGAAUCAGCAAGACAUUAAAAUAAUUAACUAACAUGGCUAUAUUACAUCUUUUUAUAAAAGUUAUAGAAAAUCAACAUUCUAAAAUUAAGAAAAUUAGCACAUUAAGCUGUGAAAUGAAAUUCUAGACUUAGUCAUAAGAAAAGUCCUCACAAGCUAAUGUUCACAGAUAUUUAACUGUUCUUUUUUGAAGUUUAAGCUCAUAUAAAAUCUUGGUAGAGCCACAUUAAUAUGCACAUCUUCACAACAGUUUAGUUUAUUAGAAGUUUACUGAUAACAUUUGCAUUAUGAGGUUUUGCUUUGAAAACCUUGCUUAUAUAAAUCAAAUAAGGUUUAUAAAAUAAAGUAUGAUCUUCUGCUAAUCACACAUGUAAGGAAUAUGUUCUAUUAUUCUAUUCUAGUCCCCCCUGUAUAGAGGAAUAGUUGAUGACAACUCCAAUGUUUCUUACACUGAUUAAAUACUCGGAGAGAUUAAAGAACUUUUAAUCUACAGGGGAAUUUAUUUUAAUAACAUUCAUUGAUAAGUAGGGAAGUGUAGUUUUUAAAUUUAAUUUUAAUGUGUUUAAUUAAAAAGAAAAAACAAACCAAUAAGAAAAAGCAAAUGUGAUUAGAGAAAACAAUAGGACACACAGACAUAUGAACACAAAUGUGAUUUUAAAGACAAAUACAGACGUUUAAUCAUUCAUAUUUAAUAUUUCUUCCCAAAAUAAGAUUUGUACAGCUGAAGGUGGCCCAUUAGGAAAAGUGCUGCUAAUAUAACUGGUAUUUAUCCUCAUUAAAGAAAAAAAAAAACGAGAAUACAAAGAAAAAAGAGACUGCAAUAGAAGUACCAUGCAGACAACCUUCAUCAGUAAACUUGUUCAGACAACGCCUGCUUUUCACAUCCCAUACGAAGACUUCACCCUCAUCUGACAGGUA